GGUUUAGUAUCCUGCGUCAGGAGUGAACGCUGGCGGCGUGCGUUAACACAUAGCAAGUCGAACGGAGCAUAAGAGACAGAAUACUACGGUAGGAAGAUUUUAUUGACUGAGUGGCGGACGGGUGGAGUAACGCGUGGGUAACCUGCCUCAUACAGGGGAGUAACAGUUAGAAAUGGCUGCUAAUACCGCAUAAGCGCACAGUACUGCAUGGUACAGUGUGAAAAACUCUGGUGGUAUGAGAUGGACCCGCGUCUGAUUAGCUAGUUGGUGAGUAAGGGCUCACCAAGGCAACGAUCAGUAGCCGACCUGAGAGGGUGAACGGCCACAUUGGGACUGAGACACGGCCCAAACUCCUACGGGAGGCAGCAGUGGGGGAAUAUUGCACAAUGGGGGGAACCCUGAUGCAGCGACGCCGCGUGAAGGAAGAAGUAUUUCGGUAUGUAAACUUCUAUCAGCAGGGAAGAAAAUGACGGUACCUGACUAAGAAGCCCCGGCUAACUACGUG
rnacentral:rRNA from 1 species